CUGUGCUUUUAAUCAGCAUUGAUCACAUUUAUUGAGUCAACAAAAGUCACAAAGCCAAAGAUUAAAAAAAUUUUGUACUUCCCCUCACGCAUUCACGAUGUCCUCAAUCAGAACCGAUCCCCUCACGCAUGACUUAAUGAAAAAAUGUAGUUUUUGGAAUUAUUAAGACGUCUAUCAACACCGGACAGCGUACACGCCGCC
rnacentral:lncRNA from 1 species